GACGAACGCUGGCGGCGUGCCUAAUACAUGCAAGUCGAGCGGACUAAUGGGAGCUUGCCCCCGUUAGUUAGCGGCGGACGGGUGAGUAACGCGUGGGCAACCUACCUGUAAGACUGGGAUAACUUCGGGAGACCGGAGCUAAUACCGGAUGACAUAAAGGAACUCCUGUUCCUUUAUUGAAAGAUGGCUUCGGCUAUCACUUACAGAUGGGCCCGGGGCGCAUUAGCUAGUUGGUGAGGUAACGGCUCACCAAGGCGACGAUGCGUAGCCGACCUGAGAGGGUGAUCGGCCACACUGGGACUGAGACACGGCCCAGACUCCUACGGGAGGCAGCAGUAGGGAAUCUUCCGCAAUGGACGAAAGUCUGACGGAGCAACGCCGCGUGAGCGAUGAAGGCCUUCGGGUCGUAAAGCUCUGUUGUUAGGGAAGAAUAAGUGCUAGUUGAAUAAGCUGGCACCUUGACGGUACCUAACCAGAAAGCCACGGCUAACUACGUGCCAGCCGCCGCAGUAAGAC
rnacentral:rRNA from 1 species